rnacentral:rRNA from 1 species
UACGAAGGGGCUAGCGUUGCUCGGAAUCACUGGGCGUAAAGGGUGCGUAGGCGGGUCUUUAAGUCAGGGUGAAAUCCUGGAGCUCAACUCCAGAACUGCCUUUGAUACUGAAGAUCUUGAGUUCGGGAGAGGUGAGUGGAACUGCGAGUGUAGAGGUGAAAUUCGUAGAUAUUCGCAAGAACACCAGUGGCGAAGGCGGCUCACUGGUCCAUUACUGACGCUGAGGUGCGAAAGCGUGGGGAGCAAACAGGG